GGGGCUGGAUUGGAAUUGACAACAAGAUUAAUAUAUAAGUAAGCAUAUCGUGAAAAGUAAUGUAAUCACGUAAAUAUCAUUACAAAUGAUAACCGGCAAAAAAAAUUAUGCUCUUGCGGCUUGAUCAAUAACUUUUAAUUCGAAGGCAAGAUUUUUUUAUUAAAAAGAAAUUUAAUUUGAAAGAUUGAGGUUCUAAAUCUUUCUUUAAUUGUUUAGAACUUUCUUCUAAGAAAGAGUUUCUUAUCACUAAUCUUAUGUUAAAUUUGCUCUUUGAUAAGAUAAAUAUGUAGAAAACUUAUAAUAUUACUUGUUUGGACACGGGUUCGAAUCCCGUCAGCUCCACAC
rnacentral:tmRNA from 1 species